AGAGUUUGAUCAUGGCUCAGAACGAACGCUGGCGGCAGGCCUAACACAUGCAAGUCGAGCGCUGUAGCAAUACAGAGCGGCAAACGGGUGCGUAACACGUGAGUCAUCUGCCUGGAAGUGGGGGAUAGCUCGCCGAAAGGCGAAUUAAUACCGCAUGUGAUUGCAAAAUUAAAGCCGGGGCAACCUGGCGCUUUCAGAGGAGCUCGCGGCCUAUCAGCUUGUUGGUAAGGUAACGGCUUACCAAGGCUUCGACGGGUAGCUGGUCUGAGAGGACGACCAGCCACACUGGAACUGAGACACGGUCCAGACACCUACGGGUGGCAGCAGUCGAGAAUUUUUCUCAAUGGGGGAAACCCUGAAGGAGCGACGCCGCGUGGAGGAUGAAGGCUUUCGGGUUGUAAACUCCUGUCAUUUGGGAACAAAGCCUUACGUUAACUGCGUGGAGGUUUGAUAGUACCAGAAGAGGAAGAGACGGCUAACUCUGUGCCAGCCGCCGCGGUAAUAC
rnacentral:rRNA from 1 species